AUUGAACGCUGGCGGCAGGCCUAACACAUGCAAGUCGAACGAGUGGCGGACGGGUGAGUAAUGUAUGGGAAACUGCCUGAUGGAGGGGGAUAACUACUGGAAACGGUAGCUAAUACCGCAUACCAUCAGAUGUGCCCAGAUGGGAUUAGCUAGUUGGUGGGGUAACGGCUCACCAAGGCGACGAUCCCUAGCUGGUCUGAGAGGAUGACCAGCAACACGGGAACUGAGACACGGUCCAGACUCCGACGGGAGGCAGCAGUGGGGAAUAUUGCACAAGGGGGGCAAGCCGGAUGCAGCCAUGCCGCGUGUAUGAUGAAGGCCUUCGGGUUGUAAAGUACUUUCGGCGGGGAGGCGUUACCCGCAGAAGAAGCCCCGGCUAACUACGUGCCAGCAGCCGCGGUAAUUC
rnacentral:rRNA from 1 species